rnacentral:lncRNA from 1 species
UGAAAAGUGAGGAACUGGCUGACUGACUACAAAUCAUGAGAUUUUGUUCUAUAUUUUCACUUAGUGUAACACAGACACCCAUUAUUCGGAUAGAGAUAAAACACUAUGAAACUAGUUCCCAAGUUGAUACAUUUAUAUCAGCUAUAGAAUGCUGAUUUCUUACCAAUAAUUUGCACUCUAUUACCUAUAUAGAUUGAAGGAAUAUUCAGUAUUCAGUACUUAUUUUACCUCUAUCACAUUUUACGCUAGCAUCCUAAAGAUUUUUUUUCUUAUUCAGUUGUUUUCUAAAGUCAAUUUUUACAU